CAGAGAGAUGGGACCACAUCACCACUACUACAGAGAGAAGGCCAGGAACAACUAGAGCACCAUCAAAUCCUAUGGGUAAGACAAGCUCUCAGAGGAAAAAAGGAAGGAAGGAUUUUCCACAUCAGCUACCUGUUUCAAACUUCAUGGGUUUGACUUGGAAGACAACUUGGAUGACUGGAGUGAUCUAGAUGGCCCCAAAAAGCCAAGUACAGGAGAAGGAGGAGGUUGGUCAGACAAGGAUCUCGAAGAUAUCUUGGGAGACGGGGAAUACAAACCUGACAAGAAUAAAGUGGAUGGACUGCCAGACCGAAGGCUUCAUGAAAGAACUGUGCUGCUGUGAACGUCAGUAUAUGGGCAUAUAGAAGAUUUCACACAGGAUUUUAUUAUUAACAUCGAUGGAAGCUUACUAACCUUGGAUUUUUAUGAAAAUUGGCUUAGCAUCCCAGAUGGAACUCUGGCUGGAAAAAUUAAUGGCAUUCAAAGCUUUUGCAACAGAUGCCAGAACCAAACUUUAUACUAUUAAAACAUCUCAUAUGUGUAUUAGUAAUAAUAAAAAAUUCUUCCAUGAAUAAUUUAGACAGUUACAGGUUAUCUCUGCGCAUAGCUCCACAUGUACUGUGGGGUCAGACUUCGAGAGAUUCAUUAUUUGGGAGUG
rnacentral:lncRNA from 1 species